GUGAUUCCAUCCAAAUAGUUCAUUUACCAAAUUUAUAUGAGAAUGAUGUGAAGUGUAUGGUGAUUUUAUUGAAAUUUAUUCAUUCCCAUAAUAUAUUUUGAGUAAAAGGAAAAUCUAACUCAAAGCUGAAUUUCCUGUAUUCAAAGACUCAGAACAAGCUGUAUUCUUGCAAAGCAGAUACCAACAAGAAAAAAACUCACAAUAUUAAUGCAGAAAAUAUAUUCGAACUUACAAGAAACACCUUUAGAUAACGAGGAACUUUCCAGAUAAACUCGGUGAUAAGAAUAUCUUCCGAAAUGA
rnacentral:lncRNA from 1 species